GAAAACUGUCCAAUACUGAGAGGGAGGCAGUUAAGACUUGCAGUGAUGUUUAGAGAAAUGUCACAUGAACAUCACUUUAAGUCUGUGCUGGCUCCUGUUCUGAGUCUACAAAGUGCUUC
rnacentral:pre_miRNA from 8 species